UACGAAGGGGGCUAGCGUUGCUCGGAAUGACUGGGCGUAAAGGGCGCGUAGGCGGCUUGUCGCGUCGGCUGUGAAAACCUGGGGCUCAACCCCGGGCCUGCAGCCGAUACGGGCAAGCUAGAAUUCGGUAGGGGAGACUGGAAUUCCUGGUGUAGCGGUGAAAUGCGCAGAUAUCAGGAAGAACACCCGUGGCGAAGGCGGUUCUCUGGGACGGUACUGACGCUGAGACGCGAAAGCGUGGGGAGCGAACAGG
rnacentral:rRNA from 1 species